ACGCCUGUGUGCUAGCUGCUUGAUGUCUGUGUUUCAGUCCCCCACAUAGACCUUUACAACAUGCUUUCACGAAAUCUUUUAAUUGCGUCAGUGGUUGUCUUUCUGGUAGUAACAGCUUUCACAGCCCCAGUGGACGAGAUAGAGCACGAGGACACGGAGGUGGAGACAGAGGAGGGAGAAGAGGAGCUCUCCGAGGAGGAGGAGGAUGAUGAUGACUCCAAGAGUCAGGAUAAGCAUAUGGGAGCUGCAUCACAGACGAGCACAGCAUCAAAGGGCCUGGG